GGGUUUUCUGAUUUGCUUAUUGCACCACAUGUGUUUUUCUUUGAAACAAACUUGCUUUGGCGGUGGGCCCAGCCUGCCGCCAGAGGUCUAAACUUACAACCAAUUUUUUAUCAACUUGUCACACCAGAUUAUUACUAAUAGUCAAAACUUUCAACAACGGAUCUCUUGGUUCUCGCAUCGAUGAAGAACGCAGCGAAAUGCGAUACGUAAUAUGAAUUGCAGAUAUUCGUGAAUCAUCGAAUCUUUGAACGCACAUUGCGCCCUCUGGUAUUCCGGAGGGCAUGCCUGUUUGAGCGUCGUUUCUCCCUCAAACCGCUGGGUUUGGUGUUGAGCAAUACGACUUGGGUUUGCUUGAAAGACGGUAGUGGUAAGGCGGGAUCGCUUUGACAAUGGCUUAGGUCUAACCAAAAACAUUGCUUGCGGCGGUAACGUCCACCACGUAUAUCUUCAAACUUUGACCUCAAAUCAGGUAGGACUACCCGCUGAACUUAAGCAUAUCAAUAAGCGGAGGAA
rnacentral:rRNA from 1 species